GAUGAACGCUGGCGGCGUGCCUAAUACAUGCAAGUCGAGCGAACGGACGAGAAGCUUGCUUUUCUGAUUUUAGCGGCGGACGGGUGAGUAACACGUGGAUAACCUACCUAUAAGACUGGGAUAACUUCGGGAAACCGGAGCUAAUACCGGAUAAUAUUUUGAACCGCAUGGUUCAAAAGUGAAAGAAGGUCUUGCUGUCACUUAUAGAUGGAUCAGCGCUGCAUUAGCUAGUUGGUAAGGUAACGGCUUACCAAGGCAACGAUGGAUAACCGACCUGAGAGGGUGGUCAGCCAGACUGGAACUGAGGAACAGUCCAGACUCCGACGGGGGGCAGCAGUAGGGAAUCUUCCGCGAUGGGCGAGAGCCUGACGGAGCACCGCCGCGUGAGUGAUGAAGGUCUUAGGAUCGUAGAACUCUGUUAUUAGGAAAGAACAUAUGUGUAAGUAACUGUGCACAUCUUGACGGUACCUAAUGAGAAAGCCACGGCUAACUACGUG
rnacentral:rRNA from 1 species